AUUGAACGCUGGCGGCAGGCCUAACACAUGCAAGUCGAGCGAGCGGCGGACGGGUGAGUAAUGUAUGGGGAACUGCCCGAUAGAGGGGGAUAACUACUGGAAACGGUAGCUAAUACCGCAUACUAUCGGAUGUACCCAGAUGGGAUUAGCUAGUAGGUGGGGUAAAGGCUCACCUAGGCGACGAUCCCUAGCUGGUCUGAGAGGAUGCACAGCCAAACUGGAACUGAGACACGGCCCGGACUCCUACGGUAGGCAGCAGUGGGGAAUAUUGCAAAAUGGGCGCAAGCCUGAUGCAGCCAUGCCGCGUGUAUGAAGAAGGCCUUCGGGUUGUAAAGUACUUUCAGCGGGGAGGCGUUACCCGCAGAAGAAGCACCGGCUAACUCCGUGCCAGCAGCCGCGGUAAUUC
rnacentral:rRNA from 1 species